AACGAACGCUGGCGGCAUGCCUAACACAUGCAAGUCGAACGAGAACUUCGGGUCUAGUGGCGCACGGGUGCGGAACGCGUGGGAACCUGCCCUUAGGUUCGGAAUAAAUCCCCGAAAGGGGUGCUAAUACCGGAUAAUGUCUUCGGACCAAAGAUUUAUCGCCUUUGGAUGGGCCCGCGUUGGAUUAGCUAGUUGGUAGGGUAAAAGCCUACCAAGGCGACGAUCCAUAGCUGGUCUGAGAGGAUGAUCAGCCACACUGGGACUGAGACACGGCCCAGACUCCUACGGGAGGCAGCAGUGGGGAAUAUUGGACAAUGGGCGAAAGCCUGAUCCAGCAAUGCCGCGUGAGUGAUGAAGGCCUUAGGGUUGUAAAGCUCUUUUACCCGGGAUGAUAAUGACAGUACCGGGAGAAUAAGCUCCGGCUAACUCCGUG
rnacentral:rRNA from 1 species